rnacentral:rRNA from 1 species
CAGAGGGUGCGAGCGUUAAUCGGAAUUACUGGGCGUAAAGCGCGCGUAGGCGGCUUUUCAAGUCGGAUGUGAAAUCCCCGGGCUCAACCUGGGAACUGCAUUCGAGACUGUCUAGCUAGAGUAUGGGAGAGGGAAGUGGAAUUUCAGGUGUAGCGGUGAAAUGCGUAGAUAUCUGAAGGAACAUCAGUGGCGAAAGCGACUUCCUGGACCAAUACUGACGCUCAUGUGCGAAAGCGUGGGGAGCAAACAGGAUUAGAUACCCUGGUAGUCCACGCCAUAAACGAUGAGAACUGGAUGUCGGAGGGGGUCUGCCCUUCGGUGUCGUAGCUAACGCGUUAAGUUCUCCGCCUGGGGAGUACGGCCGCAAGGUUG